rnacentral:lncRNA from 1 species
GGCGCCGGGACUGGCCAUGCCAUCCCCCAGCUCCCCCGGUGAAGAGGCCAGGCGCCCCUCCUGACGCCCCGUCUCCGCUCCUGGGGGCCCAUCCCCUGCCCAGCGGGUGGCCGACAGUCACCUCACCCACAGCGGGCCAGGGCUGCAGGCUUCCGGAGCAUCGUGACUGCAGGGGAGUUGAUGGAGAAAACUCCCUGGGCUUUGGCUCAGUGUCCCCUGAUGCCUGCCAAGGACAAAGCCGGCCCCUGGCCUUUGAGAUCCAGAAGGACGCACUCACUCGCCCUCCUGGUCCCUGCGGUGACAUCACAGAAGUGCCUGUGACUCUUGUCCUCCAGAGCCAGCUUCAUCUCCACCUCACUUCUACCAGAACUACCCUCGGCUCCCAGACGCCCUCUCUCACCACCCCUGGAGAUGCAUUUAUUGAGCACCUGCUGUUUACCUUGUGCUCCACUCCCACUGGGCCAAAGUGUGAGCCCCCCACCAAAGGGCCUGCCACUACCCGUGCUUCCAGUCCCAGUCACUGACCCUGAGCUGGGCCCACGCUGUCUGGGUGUCCCCAUACCUCUCCUGGUCCAGGCUGCUCCCAGAACCCACGGCUGCAUCCUUGGGCUCAGGAGAUACCCAGAGGCUGGCUCAAAAAGGAGGGAAUGAGGAGUGCAGGAUAGGCAGGACAGACCUGCUCCUAAAAGAGCAGCCGAUCUGGCAAACACAGCAGACAUUCUGCUUUUGGAAAAAUUUUAUAACACAGUGGCACUUGUUCAUGGAGACUAAUAGAAACACCACACAGCCCCACAUUGCUCAGCCAGCCAGGGGGUGGCUCGCGCUGCUGGGAAACAUUUCCCAGGCGCCUACUACGUGCUGGAGGCCGGGGAGAGGAGGAGGAGGAGGAGAAAGAGGCAGGAGGACAUCCUCAGGGCACCUGGAAAGACAGCUGAGGGCCGGAGGAAGAGCCACAGAUGCAGCCCAGGCUGCUCCCGAAGCAGCAGCAUAUGCAACCUCACCACGGGGACAGCAGCAGAGGGCAGCCCAGCCCGUGCAAAGGCUCCUUAAAUCUCCAUGUCCAGGCAACCCAAUCAUGUUGCCAAAAUGUGAUUGGUGGGAAAAUGAUGUCCACACUCAGUGCACAUCUAACAAACAAGUAAAGCAGGUAACGCAAGAGUUUGGGGGUACAAAAAAUGGAAGGAAGAAGAAUGAGAC